rnacentral:rRNA from 1 species
CUAAGAAUCUUGCGCAAUGGGCGAAAGCCUGACGCAGCAACGCCGCGUGGGGGACGAAGGCCCUCGGGUCGUAAACCCCUUUUGUGAAGGAAGAAGUUCUGACGGUACUUCACGAAUAAGCCACGGCUAACUACGUGCCAGCAGCCGCGGUAAUACGUAGGUGGCGAGCGUUGUCCGGAUUUAUUGGGCGUAAAGAGCCCGCAGGCGGUUUGGCAAGUUUCAGGUGAAAUCUCCUGGCUUAACUGGGAGGGUGCCUGGAAAACUGCCAGACUAGAGGCAGGGAGAGGGAUGCGGAAUUCCCGGUGUAGUAGUGAAAUGCGUAGAUAUCGGGAGGAACACCAGUGGCGAAGGCGGCAUCCUGGCCCUGUCCUGACGCUCAGGGGCGAAAGCGUGGGGAGCAAACCGG